rnacentral:snRNA from 1 species
GUGCUCACUUCAGCAGCACGUUUACUAAAAUUGGAACAAUGCAGAGAAUAUUAGCAUGGUCCCUUGCACAAGGAUGACAUGCAAAUUCAUGAAGUGAGUAUUUUCAUU